rnacentral:rRNA from 1 species
UACGAAGGGUGCAAGGCGUUACUCGGAAUUACUGGGCGUAAAGCGUGCGUAGGUGGUGAGUUAAGUCUGAUCGUGAAAGCCCCGGGCCUCAACCUGGGAAUGGCGAUGGAUACUGGCUCGCUAGAGUGCGGUAGAGGAGAGUGGAAUUCCCGGUGUAGCAGUGAAAUGCGUAGAGAUCGGGAGGAACAUCAGUUGCGAAGGCGGCUCUCUGGACCAGCACUGACACUGAGGCACGGAAAGCGUGGGGAGCGAACAGG